rnacentral:rRNA from 1 species
GUCUAUGGCCAUGCCACCCUGAACAAGCCUGAUGUCUGAUCUCGGAAGCUAAGUUAAGUUGGGCCUGCUUAGUACUUGAAUGAGAGACCACCUAGGAAGACCAGGUGCUGUAGGCA